UCGAGGGGUAUUGGUUUUCGGACCAGAGACCGGCGCACGGGUGCGUAACGCGUAUGCAAUCUACCUUUCACAGAGGGAUAGCCCAGAGAAAUUUGGAUUAAUACCUCAUAGUAUGCAGAGUUGGCAUCAACCCUGCAUUAAAGUCACAACGGUGAAAGAUGAGCAUGCGUCCCAUUAGCUAGUUGGUAAGGUAACGGCUUACCAAGGCUACGAUGGGUAGGGGUCCUGAGAGGGAGAUCCCCCACACUGGUACUGAGACACGGACCAGACUCCUACGGGAGGCAGCAGUGAGGAAUAUUGGACAAUGGGCGCAAGCCUGAUCCAGCCAUGCCGCGUGCAGGAUGACGGUCCUAUGGAUUGUAAACUGCUUUUGUACGAGAAGAAACACUCCUUCGUGAAGGAGCUUGACGGUAUCGUAAGAAUAAGGAUCGGCUAACUCCGUGCCAGCAGCCGCGGUAAUACGGAGGAUCCAAGCGUUAUCCGGAAUCAUUGGGUUUAAAGGGUCCGUAGGCGGUUUAGUAAGUCAGUGGUGAAAGCCCAUCGCUCAACGGUGGAACGGCCAUUGAUACUGCUAGACUUGAAUUAUUAGGAAGUAACUAGAAUAUGUAGUGUAGCGGUGAAAUGCUUAGAGAUUACAUGGAAUACCAAUUGCGAAGGCAGGUUACUACUAAUGGAUUGACGCUGAUGGACGAAAGC
rnacentral:rRNA from 1 species